rnacentral:rRNA from 1 species
AAUGGAGGAAACUCUGAUGCAGCGAUGCCGCGUGAGUGAAGAAGGCCUUUGGGUUGUAAAGCUCUUUCGUCGGGGAAGAAAAUGACUGUACCCGAAUAAGAAGGUCCGGCUAACUUCGUGCCAGCAGCCGCGGUAAUACGAAGGGACCUAGCGUAGUUCGGAAUUACUGGGCUUAAAGAGUUCGUAGGUGGUCGAAAAAGUUGGUGGUGAAAUCCCAGAGCUUAACUCUGGAACUGCCAUCAAAACUUUUCAGCUAGAGUUUGAUAGAGGAAAGCAGAAUUUCUAGUGUAGAGGUGAAAUUCGUAGAUAUUAGAAAGAAUACCAAUUGCGAAGGCAGCUUUCUGGAUCAUUACUGACACUGAGGAACGAAGGCAUGGGUAGCGAAGAGGAUU